CUUAGUUGAAGUUUAUUGAGGACAGUACAACAAUGUCAUUGUGCAGCAACAAAUGGAACUGUAUCAUCGAUCUGACCUCGGUUGCGCAAGAGCGAAAAUGAGACACAAGAAUUCCGGCAGAUACAAACAGAAGUGAUGGAUUUAUUGAGGAUCACAUCAAAUAAUCCAGGAGCUGUGAAUCAGUAAA